rnacentral:rRNA from 1 species
GAUGAACGCUGGCGGCGUGCCUAAUACAUGCCAGUCGAGCGAACAGACGAGGAGCUUGCUCCUUCGACGUUAGCGGCGGACGGGUGAGUAACACGUAGGUAACCUACCUAUAAGACUGGGAUAACUUCGGGAAACCGGAGCUAAUACCGGAUAAUAUUUCGAACCGCAUGGUUCGAUAGUGAAAGAUGGCUUUGCUAUCACUUAUAGAUGGACCUGCGCCGUAUUAGCUAGUUGGUAAGGUAACGGCUUACCAAGGCAACGAUACGUAGCCGACCUGAGAGGGUGAUCGGCCACACUGGAACUGAGACACGGUCCAGACUCCUACGGGAGGCAGCAGUAGGGAAUCUUCCGCAAUGGGCGAAAGCCUGGCGGAGCAACGCCGCGUGAGUGAUGAAGGUCUUCGGAUCGUAAAACUCUGUUAUUAGGGAAGAACAAACGUGUAAGUAACUGUGCACGUCUUGACGGUACCUAAUCAGAAAGCCACGGCUAACUACGUG